rnacentral:rRNA from 1 species
AGGACGAACGCUGGCGGCACGCUUAACACAUGCAAGUCGAACGGAGUUAUCGAGAGCUUGCUUUGAUAACUUAGUGGCGGACGGGUGAGUAACACGUGAGCAAUCUGCCCUUAAGAGGGGGAUAGCAGUUGGAAACGACUGAUAAUACCGCAUAAGAUAGUAGUACCGCAUGGUACAGCUAUAAAAGAUUUAUCGCUUAAGGAUGAGCUCGCGUCUGAUUAGCUAGUUGGUGAGGUAACGGCUCACCAAGGCAACGAUCAGUAGCCGGACUGAGAGGUUGGACGGCCACAUUGGGACUGAGACACGGCCCAGACUCCUACGGGAGGCAGCAGUGGGGAAUAUUGCACAAUGGAGGGAACUCUGAUGCAGCGAUGCCGCGUGAGGGAAGUAAGGUUUUAGGAUUAGUAAACCUCUGUUGACAGGGACGAUAAUGACGGUACCUGUUGGGGAAGCUCCGGCUAACUACGUGCCAGCCGCUGC